AGAGAAGACUGAGGGUAUUUUUGACAUAAAAAAUAUAUAAUAAUAUUUUAUAAACGGAACCCUAACGGAUUACAAACGGUAAGGGGUGAAGUGAAUAUUUUUUAUUUUAUAAGGGGACAAAGUAUAUGUUUUUAAAUGACAGGGGAAAAAAAUAAAAAAUCGUGUUUUGAUAGGGGAGUUUUAUGUAUUUUAGCCUAAUAAAAAUACAACUAUGAUGCCCCACUUCCCUGGGGGUCACCUAUCCUAGGACCAUUUUAGACCAAGCAAGCUUAAUCCUCUUAACCUCUCUGCCCUAGCCAUCG
rnacentral:lncRNA from 1 species